rnacentral:rRNA from 1 species
AUUGAACGCUGGCGGCAUGCCUUACACAUGCAAGUCGAACGGCAGCGGACCUUCGGGUGCCGGCGAGUGGCGAACGGGUGAGUAAUAUAUCGGAACGUACCUUUCAGUGGGGGAUAACGUAGCGAAAGUUACGCUAAUACCGCAUAUUCUGUGAGCAGGAAAGCAGGGGAUCGCAAGACCUUGCGCUGAUUGAGCGGCCGAUAUCAGAUUAGCCUAGUUGGUGAGGUAAAGGCUCACCAAGGCGACGAUCUGUAGCGGGUCUGAGAGGAUGAUCCGCCACACUGGAACUGAGACACGGUCCAGACUCCUACGGGAGGCAGCAGUGGGGAAUUUUGGACAAUGGGCGCAAGCCUGAUCCAGCCAUGCCGCGUGAGUGAAGAAGGCC